UGAGAUCAGCGGCGGACGGGUGAGUAACACGUGGGUAACCUGCCUGUAAGACUGGGAUAACUCCGGGAAACCGGGGCUAAUACCGGAUAACACCUACCCCCGCAUGGGGGAAGGUUGAAAGGUGGCUUCGGCUAUCACUUACAGAUGGACCCGCGGCGCAUUAGCUAGUUGGUGAGGUAAUGGCUCACCAAGGCGACGAUGCGUAGCCGACCUGAGAGGGUGAUCGGCCACACUGGGACUGAGACACGGCCCAGACUCCUACGGGAGGCAGCAGUAGGGAAUCUUCCGCAAUGGACGAAAGUCUGACGGAGCAACGCCGCGUGAGUGAAGAAGGUUUUCGGAUCGUAAAACUCUGUUGUUAGGGAAGAACAAGUGCCGUUCGAAUAGGGCGGCGCCUUGACGGUACCUAACCAGAAAGCCACGGCUAACUACGUGCCAGCAGCCGCGGUAAUACGUAGGUGGCAAGCGUUGUCCGGAAUUAUUGGGCGUAAAGCGCGCGCAGGUGGUUUCUUAAGUCUGAUGUGAAAGCCCACGGCUCAACCGUGGAGGGUCAUUGGAAACUGGGGAACUUGAGUGCAGAAGAGGAAAGUGGAAUUCCAAGUGUAGCGGUGAAAUGCGUAGAUAUUUGGAGGAACACCAGUGGCGAAGGCGACUUUCUGGUCUGUAACUGACACUGAGGCGCGAAAGCGU
rnacentral:rRNA from 2 species